UACGUAGGGUGCAAGCGUUAAUCGGAAUUACUGGGCGUAAAGCGCAUGUAGGCGGAUCCAUAAGUCGGGCGUGAAAUCCCCAGGCUCAACCUGGGAACUGCGCUCGAAACUGUGGGUCUUGAGUGUCGGAGAGGAUGGCGGAAUUCCUGGUGUAGAGGUGAAAUUCGUAGAUAUCAGGAGGAACACCGGUGGCGAAGGCGGCCAUCUGGACGACAACUGACGCUGAGAUGCGAAAGCGUGGGGAGCAAACAGG
rnacentral:rRNA from 1 species